AGGACGCCAGUUUGGGCGGAGCCAUCCUUUGGAUACCACACUUGUAGUCCUGUCAAUCUAACCAUCGGCCAUGAAUCUGGUCUUGGGACACGGUCAGGUGGGCAGUUUGACUGGGUCGGUCGCCUACCAAAAGUGAAAGGAGGCGCUCAAGGGUUCUCUCAGUACGGUGGGACAUCGUACGUGGAUGGUAAUGGCAAACGAGUGAUUGCUGUCACGACAUACCGGUCACGCAAGGAUGAAAAUCGGACUUAGUGAUCCGGUGGUUCUGCGUGGAAGGGCCAUCGACCAACGGAUAAAAGCUACCCUGGGGAUAACAGGCUUAUCUCACCCAAGAGUCCACAUCGACGGGGAGGUUUGGCACCUGGAUGUCGGCUCAUCACAUCCUGUGGCUGUAGUAGGUCCCAAGGGUGGGGCUGUUCGCCCAUUAAAGUGUUACGC
rnacentral:rRNA from 1 species